UACGUAGGGGGCAAGCGUUGUCCGGAAUCAUUGGGCGUAAAGCGCGUGUAGGCGGCUUGGUAAGUCCGCUCUGAAAGCCCGGGGCUCAACCCCGGGAGGCGGGUGGAUACUGUCAAGCUCGAGUCCGGAAGAGGCGAGUGGAAUUCCCGGUGUAGCGGUGAAAUGCGCAGAUAUCGGGAGGAACACCAAUGGCGAAGGCAGCUCGCUGGGACGUGACUGACGCUGAGACGCAAAAGCGUGGGGAGCAAACAGG
rnacentral:rRNA from 1 species